GGUUGAUCGAGUGCAUGGUGUUUACACUAAUUGAUCACAACCAAUUACAGAUUCUUUGUUCCCUUCUCACACUCCCACUGCUCCACUUGACCAGCCUUAA
rnacentral:sRNA from 1 species